AGUCCCACUCGCAUUUCGAUAGAUGGCGCUAAACCACCCAUACGUUCUUCCACAGCCAUCAAACGCAAAACAAAGAAGGAGAGUGCUCAUUCUCUUCACGUCCGUCGCAGCGGCUCGAUGCUACGUGGGGAAAAAGAAAUGGGCUGCUGUAAACACCGAUGGGAGUAUCAACAAAAAGAAACGAUGGAGUCCCAAGUCUGGUCCUGCUAUCUGUGUUCUGCCCAUUUCAUCUUGAAAGAAGAAGUUUCUUGUUUCGUACUGACGGGUCCAUCGUCAUGCUGAACACAUGAAUCCAAAGUGAGUCUGCCAGAAACUGAUCCCCAGCCUGCAAAGCGUGGACCUGCUGAUGGUCUGUCAGUGCACACAGUUACACAGUGAGACACGCACACACACAGUGGGAUGGUUGGCAUGGCCGAAUUCUGUUCCAGCUGCUCUGUGGUGGAAACAGUCAGACACCAUGCAACAGUCUCGUCUCAUUUCUGCCAAACAACUGGAUGAGUGCUGCACGAAGCCUAAUCCAACAUAGGAGAAUGAGUACAAUUUAUUUUUGAAAACAAAAAAAGAUGAUGCUUUGAGUGUAUUCUUGUUGGUUUUGCAUUAACCUGCUUUUUUUAAUUCUGCAGGGGAGCUGCUGGUUGUCUGAAGUGGAAAUUGGGGGAAUCUUUCGUAUUUGGUAAGAAUAGAAAGUAAACGUUAAUUGUGAAUAUUUGUUUUCGCCCACAGUUGUGUAACAGAAAGUGCUCUCUUUUUUUUUUUUUGUUUUCUUUUGCUAUCACUUUUAUAACUGAAAAUGAUUUUCCUGUUUGUGUGGAAAGUACCUCAACUCACGGUGUGUAAUAAAAUUCUCUUCCAAUAAAUCUUGUGAAUCUUGUUUUAAUUGUCUUAAUUGAGCUCACAAAAAUAAUGUUGAAGAGUUUGACGAUGUGUAUUU